CUCCAAAGGGCGUAGAUGUUCCAAAGGGGUACUUUACAGUUUAUGUUGGCGAGGUACAAAAGAAGCGAUUCGUCGUCCCACUGUCUUGCCUGAACCAACCUUCAUUUCAAGAUUUAUUGAGCCAAGCAGAAGAAGAAUUUGGAUAUGAACAUCCAAUGGGUGGCAUCACAAUUCCUUGCAGUGAAGAAACUUUCCUCAGUCUCAUACAGAGUUGAGGGAUUGAUUUACAAAAGUAGAUAGCAGAGGACAAUGAUUAGAAUAGCAUACAAUGUAUAGUCUUUACAUUUUUGAAUGAGAACUUGAUUCUUUGAAUUCAAUCUGUUGUUUAGUGUU